rnacentral:rRNA from 1 species
CCUACGGGAGGCAGCAGUGAGGAAUAUUGGUCAAUGGUCGGAAGCCUGAACCAGCCAAGUAGCGUGCAGGAUGACGGCCCUACGGGUUGUAAACUGCUUUUAUACGGGAAUAACGCGCCUUACGUGUCGUGCUUUGUAUGUACCGUAUGAAUAAGGACCGGCUAAUUCCGUGCCAGCAGCCGCGGUAAUACGGAAGGUCCGGGCGUUAUCCGGAUUUAUUGGGUUUAAAGGGAGCGUAGGCCGCAUGUCAAGCGUGCUGUGAAAUGCCGGGGCUCAACCCGGGCCUUGCGGCGCGAACUGGCGUGCUUGAGUGCGCGGAAGGCAGGCGGAAUUCGUCGUGUAGCGGUGAAAUGCUUAGAUAUGACGAAGAACCCCGAUUGCGAAGGCAGCUUGCGGCAGCGGAACUGACGCUGAUGUUCGAAAGCGCGGGUAUCGAACAGGAUUAGAUACCCCGGUAGUC